UUCUAGGCCAGUGGUGUUCCUUUGCGCUAUAGCCAGUGCGCUAUCUCCUAGAACCUAUCAUGGAGGAGGUUGACAUCACAGACAAGUUCGUGCUUGAGGUCAUUUUCAUUAAGCUGCAGCUCGCGCAACCACUAUUUUUACUACUGCAAAGUUGGACAGAGGUUUGCAGUAACAAUCAAGCUCCGUCCCAGCACGCGGCAUCAGCGACAUGAUGCUGAAGCAAUGGCACUAUCCGGAUAUUCAUCUAAUUCCAUAGAAGUUGCAACGGAUGUUGCAGCGGCUCGAGUUAUCAGAUACAUGGAGGAUGUGUGUGCCAAGGUGCUCAAGGACUAUAGUUACAACGAACUGAAACAAACAAAGGAAAGAGAAUUGCAUCUAAUUGGUUUGUUAAUAGACAAAGAAAAGUAGAUCAAAGAGCAGAAUUGGAAGAUCAGAGAGCUUAGCAAAGGCUUUGCAGACAAUAUGUAUCAAGUUAAAAACACUUUUGCUGGGAUUCAUCACAUAGCUAAAGACGGUGUAUACUCAACCAAUUCUACAAACGGCAAUGACCCCACAAGGCUGAUGUUGAUGUGCAGAAUGAACUUGCUCAUCUGCAGGAUGCAGUUGAUUGACUAAUGACCCUAUGCAGCUGAUUCGAAACACGUUGGUUCAUCCCUUUUAAAUAGUGUCUGCUUCCAUGCCUAUGUACCUUUGGAAGAUGCUUACCGGCUAUAACAACUUUAUUUAAAUGACCAGUGACACCGUGCUAACUAAUUAGCCUGUGAAGUUUUGUGUAUAGGUUCACCUAAAGAACAUGUUUACUUUUGGCACUACUCUCUGGUCAUCAUGUUUACUCUACUAAGCUACCUAAAUAGCCUAUGAAGCUUUGUGUGUAUAGCUUCACCCUAAGAACCCGUUUGCUUUUGGCACUACUCUCUGGUCAUAUAUAAAUUUGGAAUGCAUGAUGCUAUGUUGUAUCCAUGUGAUAUAUCUA